AUACUUUCAUAAGUAAUUGCUUACUUGAUUCUUUGCUUACUUGUUUUCUGCCUUAAUGACUUACUUAUUUGCUUGCUUCAUAGAUACUUUUAUCUAUGCAGACACAAAUGUCUAUACUUUCAUACUUCCUUAUACACGUACAUAAUUGCUUCUCUGUUUCUUUUCACUUAUUUGCUUCAUUGAUUCUUUGCUUACUUUUGUUCUGCCUUCAUUAUUACUUACUUGAUUAACUCUCCUCGCUUACUUGCUUAGGUAUAUUCUUUCUUAAUUCCUUAAUGACCUUCUUGCUUCCUUGUUUCUUUGCUUAAUUUCUUUUUUUCUCCUCUAAUUUUUGUUUGACUUACUUACUUUCUAACUUGCUUGCUUGAAUCGAAAAAUUAAGGUAUUCUUUAUAUGAAUCUCGUUUGAUUUCAUAGAUACAGAACAUUUUGUUAUGUAGUAUUUUGUUUCUCAACUCUACUCGGUUGAUUUAUAUCUUAACUUUUGGUAUCUAAUGGUAUCAUUAAUUGUUCCACAGAGAGAAUAUUUCUACUCUUGAUCUUCAUAUUUUUAGUCUUCUUCCCAAGAAGAUGAUACAAAUUCUAUAAUGUCUCUAAGUACCGUUAGUUUGAUAGCUGAAUGCCUGAAUCUUCUUUUAAUACUUGAAUUCUUUUCCGGCAGUUUGUCCACUGUGGUGAAGUCAGAUAACAUAUAUAUUGAAGCGUGCAAGUUAAUUCUGCCCUUGCCUGCAAACAAAAAUUUGGCAAAGCACUUUUAAAGAGUUGCAAAGAGUCUGAGAAUAUCUUGAAGGAUGAAGCUGUCAAGAUUGAGGAGCUUCAUCACAAAUUCAUGAAUUACAAAGUUUAAAAGGAACUGACAUGAUCAUCUACAGUGUUCAAAAGACACUAUCUUCCAAGUUUGAGGAGGACAAGGAGAGGCUCUAUAUGAGCAACUAAGUAAGCCAACUACCCGUUAUGAGACCACUGUUAGUCUAUUGCUAUAAAACUCUAAAAUGGAUGUUCGUCAUCUUCUUGUUUCUUAAGUUGAUUCCUUCUCCCAAUAUGAUAAUAUCUUGAAGGAUAAAGCUGUCAAGUUUGAGGAGCUUCAUUACAAAUUCAUGAAUUACAAAGUUUAAAAGGAGCUGACAUGAUCAUCUAAAAGGUUCAGAAGACACUAUCUUCCAAGUUUGAGGAGGACAAGGAGAGGCUCUAUAUACGACAGGACCAAAGGAAAAACUAAGUAAGCCAACAAACCGUUAUGAGACCAUUGUAAGUAAGAUGGUAAGACUUACUCAACAGAAAAGUAAGUGUUUCAAGACUUUGAAUAUUAUGAACAUGACCCUUUUCCUUUUUUCUAUGUUAUAGUUUAAAAUGAAUGACUAGUUACAUUCUCGCGUGAUCAACCACAAGUUAGCUAACAUCUUUCUGCCAUUUACAAUGUUGUUUGUAGUUAAACCUUAUCAUUCAUUUUUCUAGAAUCUGUAAGCAGUGGCAGAAGUUUCAUCUUGGAGUAAAACAUGACGAACAAGUAGCCACGAGCUCCACUUCUUAAAGUACAGCAAUCCGUAGCUAAGAAAUAUGAAGGAUGAAUUUCUAAAGAAAAGCCAAAAAAGAGGAGCAAGAAACAAAGUUUUGGAACAACAUCCAAGUUUUGCAUGGUCUAUUGCAAUGGAGCUCUUAAAUGGAUGUUCGUCAUCUUCUUGUUUCUUAAGUUGAAUCCUACUCCCAAUGUUCAUGGUUUGGGAACCAAUGCAAGAUGAACUUAUGUUGUUUCCGUUGAAUUUCGCUGGCAAGUGUUCAUGGUUUGGGAACCAAUGCAACAUUAUGCAGCAGAGAAUGACAUGAUUUAGUAAAAAGAAAAUAUGAAUGAAAGGGGAACUAUAAAAGAGAGUGUCAUCAAGUUCAUGAUCAGGUAUGCAGUUUCAGGUGUUUUUUCCCACUACAGACAGUCAUGGUGACGACAAACUUGGUAAAACGUGUUAAACAGUGAGGGGCAAUCAAAUUUGCUUUUUAGGGGAUUAGCUUACAAAAUUAGAACAAGAGAAGAGAGUUUUCAUCAAUUAAGAGUCAAAGCAAGAGUCGUUUGAAAAUAAAAUAACAUCUCUAAAUAAUGCGAUCAAUAAGCCUCUGCAUACUACUUCUGCAGAGAGAAGCCAUGAAAUGGAAGCGAUUCAAAAGAAAAGAUGGGGACUUCAUUUCAAUCUCUAGAGUUCAAUUAUUCUCUUAGGUAUGUCUUCAAUCGUUCUCUUCGGUUUAGUAUUUUGAUUAUUGUUCUUUUAUAACUUGCCAUCGUCUCUUUUGUUCUAUGUAGUAACAUAUUUCAUAGCUAACAGAUUUUUUUUUUUCAAAAUUCUAAAAUGAGUGGACAGGUAGGUACAUACCAAGAAUAAAGAAAAACCAGAGAAUACGCUAUGCUAUUAGACGGAAAUAGUGAACUUAUUUGAUCUAUUACAUUUGAUUCAUCGCUUGAUUCUUUUUACUUGUUCAUUUGCUUUCUUCUUUGUCUCUUUUGCUUAAUUUCUUGCUUAACUUGCUUGCUUGUUUCUUGCCUUACUCAAUUGCUCGAUUCAUUUCUUAACUUGUUUGCUUUGCUCCCUUUUUUUGUCUUUGAUUCUUUGUUUCCUUACUUCUUCCUUUCGUUAGUUGCUUAGAUGCCUAACUGGUUUACAUGUGUUCCUCGUUUGAUCUUUGUAUACUGAUCAAUUGCUUCAUUCCUUGCUUAA